UUCUUUGAUUCCCAAAAGAUUCGGACAUUGUUUGGAGAAAGCUGAUCCAACACCAUUUGAAUUGUGCUCGGAGAGAAAUUAGAAGGCAAGGAUAACCCAACUAGCCAAUCUUUAGGAGGAUAUAACUUCAUAUUGGAUGCAAUUUUGACUACAUAAUCAAUUGGAGGGGUUUUGUCCUGAUAAUGGAAUAUUGUCUCACAAACAGCAGCAAGCUCAUCAAAUAUCCAUUUGGAAACACCAGAUUGCUGCAAAAGCCGAAUGUAUUUGAAUAGCAGCCCUACAAUAUCCUGCAUGUGCUCAUGGCCAGCAUCAGUAAGAUCAAUUACUACUUUGAAGAAAGAAAACUCUGUCGUCCAGUCCCCUUCACCAGCAGCCAAGCCAGUAGCCCACCCCAAAGUUUUCAAGACAUAAAACAAAGAUCCUUCUCCUUCAUGGCCAAUAAGAUGGCUAAGAUACCUGCAUGGCCCUUCCUUGUAGUGAAGAAUGCCUGGAGUUAUUGGCCAUAUGAUUUUCAAUUUGUGACCUUGUUUUAUUGGGAUAGCUCUUACAAGUAUCUGUAAAUGUUCUGAUGUACAAGGCUGACCAGGAAAAGACAAAAAGCUUCUAUCAUUGUUUCUUAUUUCCUGGAACUUGUCCUCAACAAGGCUUUGAAUUUUAUCAAGGCUUUCCUUAGAAUAUAUCACCAGAUGCAUAAGGUUGGCAGAAUAAUUUUCAUCAUAGAACUUAAUAAGCUCCUCUCUUGUAUUCAAUCCUUUUGCUUUUGGUCGAACUUCCAGAGUAUCCCAAUUCCCAGUACUGAAUUUAUGAUAUGGAUGGCCUU
rnacentral:misc_RNA from 1 species